rnacentral:miRNA from 1 species
UUGGUUAACACAGACUCGGGA